GGUGUCGUGGAACUGGUUAUCAUGUCAGUCUAACGCACUGAAGGUCUCUGGUUCGAGUCCGGGCAACGCUA
rnacentral:tRNA from 1 species